UCCACGCAGUAAACGUUGUACACUAGGUGUAGCGGGUAUUGACCCCUGCUGUGCCGGAGCUAACGCAUUAAGUGUACCGCCUGGGGAGUACGGUCGCAAGACUAAAACUCAAAGAAAUUGACGGGGGCCCGCACAAGCGGUGGAGCAUGUGGUUUAAUUCGACGCAACGCGAAGAACCUUACCCAGACUUGACAUCCUGUGGAUCUGUAAGAGAUUAUAGAGUGCCUUCGGGAGCACAGAGACAGGUGCUGCAUGGCUGUCGUCAGCUCGUGUCGUGAGAUGUUCGGUUAAGUCCGGCAACGAGCGCAACCCUUGUCUUCAGUUGCCAGCACGGUAAAGGUGGGAAC
rnacentral:rRNA from 1 species